AUUGAACGCUGGCGGCAGGCUUAACACAUGCAAGUCGAGCGGGGUGAUGGUGCUUGCACUAUCACUUAGCGGCGGACGGGUGAGUAAUGCUUAGGAAUCUGCCUAUUAGUGGGGGACAACAUCUCGAAAGGGAUGCUAAUACCGCAUACGUCCUACGGGAGAAAGCAGGGGAUCACUUGUGACCUUGCGCUAAUAGAUGAGCCUAAGUCGGAUUAGCUAGUUGGUGGGGUAAAGGCCUACCAAGGCGACGAUCUGUAGCGGGUCUGAGAGGAUGAUCAGCCACACUGGGACUGAGACACGGACCAGACUCCUACGGAGGGCAGCAGUGGGGAAUAUUGGACAAUGGGGGGAACCCUGAUCCAGCCAUGCCGCGUGUGUGAAGAAGGCCUUAUGGUUGUAAAGCACUUUAAGCGAGGAGGAGGCUCUUUUGGUUAAUACCCAAGAUGAGUGGACGUUACUCGCAGAAUAAGCACCGGCUAACUCUGUGCCAGCCGCCGCAGUAA
rnacentral:rRNA from 1 species